rnacentral:rRNA from 1 species
ACAUCGGGAAACUGAUGGGAAAACGUCUAAAUUUCAAUUAUAAUAGUGUGACGUAAACGGUAAACGUGCAGGAGAGUAAGAUGCCAUCCUAUCAGUUAGUAAGUAGGGUAAGGGCCUACUUAGACGAAGACGGGUACGGGGAAUGAGGGUUUGAUUCCGGAGAGGGAGCCUGAGAGAUGGCUACCAGGACCAAGGUCAGCAGCAGGCGCGAAAAUUAUCGAAGCCCGCCUAGGGGCGAUAGUGAGGAGACGUGUAUAACGAAGUGCGUGUAAAGAACGUACUAAUAACUGGAGGUCAAGUCUGGUGCCAGCAUCCGCGGUAAUUCCAGCUCCAGGGGUGUCUAUGAUGAUUGCUGCGAUUAAAAAGUCCGUAGUCAAGCUGACUGACUGACCUGCAAUGUGAUUGAUCAAAGAACGAGCAGGGUUAGGAAAGCAGAGAAUUAGGAGCGACCGAGGGCUAGAGUAUUGAAUGGCGAGAGGUGAAAUUUGAUGACCCAUUCAGGAGUGACAAAGGCGAAGGCACUAGUCAAGGGCGAAUCCGAUGAUCAAGGACGUAGGCUAGAGUUUCGAAAACGAUUAGAGACCGGAGUAGUUCUAGCAGUAAACUAUGCCGACGCC